rnacentral:rRNA from 1 species
UACGGAGGGAGCUAGCGUUGUUCGGAAUUACUGGGCGUAAAGCGCGCGUAGGCGGCUUUGUAAGUUAGAGGUGAAAGCCCGGGACUCAACUCCGGAACUGCCUUUAAGACUGCAUCGCUUGAAUCCGGGAGAGGUGAGUGGAAUUCCGAGUGUAGAGGUGAAAUUCGUAGAUAUUCGGAAGAACACCAGUGGCGAAGGCGGCUCACUGGACCGGCAUUGACGCUGAGGUGCGAAAGCGUGGGGAGCAAACAGG